AUGAAUGCUUGGGUAAUCGCUGCAUGUUUUAGCAUGUAGAGGAAAGUCCAUGCUCGCACAGGCUGAGAUGCUUGUAGUGAUCGUGCUUGACGAAAUCAUAAGUCAAGGUAGUGUUCACACUAACGGCAGGGAAGACACCUACGUCUUAGUGAUAAGGUGUUGCGAUCUUGAAAGUGCCACAGUGACGAAGUUUGAUUGGAAACAAUCAAAGUGGAACGAGGUAAACCCCACGAGCGAGCAACCCAAAAUUAGGUAGGGGCACUCUUCUGAGGAAAUUCAACCAAUAUGAAGAGACAAGCUUUGCGCUUGUAGAUAGAUGAUUACCACCUUUUGUACGAGGUUGACCACCGGUAGCAGUACAAAGGUACAGAACAUGGCUUACAAAGCAUUCAUCUGG
rnacentral:RNase_P_RNA from 1 species